UACGAACUGUGCAAGCGUUAUUCGGAAUCACUGGGCUUACAGGGUGCGUAGGCGGUCUGUUAAGUCGGGUGUGAAAGCCCCCGGCUCAACCGGGGAAUUGCGCCCUAAACUGGCGGACUGGAGUGAGAUAGGGGUGUGCGGAACUUCCGGUGGAGCGGUGAAAUGUGUUGAUAUCGGAAGGAACGCCGGUGGCGAAAGCGGCACACUGGAUCUCAACUGACGCUGAGGCACGAAAGCCAGGGGAGCGAACGGG
rnacentral:rRNA from 1 species